GGUAGAAUUUCAUGUGGAAUGUUAAUGCAAAAGGUACGAAUAUUGACAGUUAAACCAUCACCACCUCCACAGGCCACCUUAUCUCAAGCAUUCAAUUGCAUUCUAAGUUAUCUUUAUUCAAAUCAAGUGUGACUACUAUACCAAAAGACUGUAGAAUGGACCAAUCAACUAACCCAUCAGUACUUGCAAAGUCUUUUU
rnacentral:lncRNA from 1 species